rnacentral:rRNA from 1 species
AACGAACGCUGGCGGCAUGCCUAACACAUGCAAGUCGAACGAUGCUUUCGGGCAUAGUGGCGCACGGGUGCGUAACGUGUGGGAAUCUGCCCUUGGGUCUGGGAUAACAGUUGGAAACGACUGCUAAUACCGGAUGAUAUCGCGAGAUCAAAGAUUUAUCGCCCGAGGAUGAGCCCGCGUAGGAUUAGCUAGUUGGUGGGGUAAAGGCCUACCAAGGCGACGAUCCUUAGCUGGUCUGAGAGGAUGAUCAGCCACACUGGGACUGAGACACGGCCCAGACUCCUACAGGAGGCAGCAGUGGGGAAUAUUGGACAAUGGGCGAAAGCCUGAUCCAGCAUGCCGCGUGAGUGAUGAAGGCCUUAGGGUUGUAAAGCUCUUUUACCCGGGAUGAUAAUGACAGUACCGGGAGAAUAAGCCCCGGCUAACUCCGUGCCAGCCGCCGCAGUAAGAC